CAAAUAAGUGCAAUCGGACGGCCUCCGUUGUGCCAUGUGGACCCGUACAGACGGCCCCAAUUGAAGGAGAGGUAUUUAAACCUCUCUUAACCGUCUCCCCAAAACCUAGCCGACGCUCUGACUGAAGAAGAAGGGCGGCCAGAGGAGAGCUCAACCACCGGAGAUACAUCGGUGCCACCGUGUUGGAACCCUAAAAUGCACCGAUAAGCUUAGAUUUCCUUUCCGUUCUUCUCAUUUCUCCAUCUUUAGCAGCCUAACACGUUUUCGAUGCAGGGUGACUGAGAGAAGUUGUAAACCGCGAGGGACAGAUGAUGGAGCUCGACUGAGUCGCCGCACUAGAGAACCAAAAUCGCUAGUAAGACUAAAUGUUUCCCCUCCCUUCUCCAAGAAACACCUCCUAACCAUGAUUUAAACAAAUUUCCACCAG
rnacentral:lncRNA from 1 species